rnacentral:rRNA from 1 species
CCUACGGGUGGCAGCAGUGAGGAAUAUUGGUCAAUGGCCGUAAGGCUGAACCAGCCAAGUCGCGUGAAGGAAGAAGGAUCUAUGGUUUGUAAACUUCUUUUAUAGGGGAAUAAAGGUAUCCACGUGUGGCUAUUUGCAUGUACCCUAUGAAUAAGCAUCGGCUAACUCCGUGCCAGCAGCCGCGGUAAUACGGAGGAUGCGAGCGUUAUCCGGAUUUAUUGGGUUUAAAGGGUGCGUAGGUUGUUUUUUAAGUCAGCGGUGAAAGUUUGUGGCUCAACCAUAAAAUUGCCGUUGAAACUGGAUGACUUGAGUGUGUUUGAGGCAGGCGGAAUGCGUGGUGUAGCGGUGAAAUGCAUAGAUAUCACGCAGAACUCCGAUUGCGAAGGCAGCUUACUAAGCCAUAACUGACACUGAAGCACGAAAGCGUGGGGAUCAAACAGGAUUAGAUACCCGAGUAGUC